UUCAAAGUAAUUAAAUAAUAUCUAAGUCCUCCCUUUUAUUACUGGGGAAGUCGGUGCGAGUCCGACGCAGUCCCUAUGCUACUGUGUUUACGUUAAGGUAUCAGUCAGAAUGCCAGUAAUAAAAGGAAGUUUUAU
rnacentral:ncRNA from 2 species